rnacentral:rRNA from 1 species
AGGAUAAACGCUGGCGGCGUGCCUAACACAUGCAAGUCGAACGCGCUUUCGGGCUUCGGUGCGAGAGCGAGUGGCGGACGGGUGAGUAACACAUGGGUACCUACCUUGGAGUGAGGGAUACCGGCGAGAAAUCGCCGACAAUACCGCAUAGGCUUCUUCACAAGGGAAGCAAAGUGACGCGAGUCACGCUUUGAGAUGGGCCUGUGGCCGAUUAGCUAGUUGGGGGGUAACGGCUUCCCAAGGCGACGAUCGGUAGCUGGUCUGAGAGGACGAUCAGCCACACUGGGAUUGAGAACGGCCCAGACUCCUACGGGGGCAGCAGUGAGGAAUUUUCCGCAAUGGAGGCAACUCUGACGGAGCAACGCCGCGUGCAGGAGGAAGGUUUUCGGAUCGUAAACUGCUUUUCGUCGGGGACGAGCAAGGACGGUACCCGAGGAAGAAGCCCCGGCUAACUACGUGCCAGCAGCCGC